GGUUUGUGGCUUAAUGGUAGAGCACUUGCCUAGCAUGUGUGUGACACUGGGUUCAAUUCUCAGCACCA
rnacentral:tRNA from 1 species